rnacentral:lncRNA from 1 species
GGCGGUGGGCACGGUGGCGCUGGUGCGACGGCGGAGGUGCUGCUGUUUUGACCUUUUUUUUUUAUUUUUUUGCUUCUGCUAUUUUUUUUUGGUUGCUCCCUUGCUUCUUUUUUUGUAUUUUGUGGGGGAUUUUUUUAUUUUUUUGGAGAGAAAGUCCCCUUUUAUGCUUGAUUUUUGCUUCUUUUUGCAGGUGGUAGGGAGGGCCUAGGUCGGCCGCCGCGCGUUGCAGGUGCAACUUGCGUCAGUGGCUGCCAGAGGGACCAAAAUGUAAUGGCAGCAAAACUUUUGGGGCCGAAUCAUAAUUUUGAGAAAGUUUAAGGGUUCAAAUGUAAUUUCAAGAAAGUUUAGGGGUCAAAAUGUAAUUUAGAAAAGUUUAGGUGUUGAAUUGUAAUUUUGAGAAAGUUUAAGGGUUAAAAUGAAAUUUUAGAAAAGUUUAAGGGUUAAAAUGCAAAAAAAAUUUAAAAAAAUUUUAAACACGAAAUUAAUCCCGGACAAAAUUCAGUGAUUACAACAUCUAAACAUCAACGAACAUAUGGCUAAAAAAACUUAACCAACAUAUGGCUAAAAUAACUUUCUCCACCGUCCUUUAUAUUAAAUGAAGGUAAUUUUAUAUUAGUUGUUUAUCAGUGUAAAAUUAAGGUAAUCUUACAUUAUUUCAUCUUUUUUAUACGAUUAAUAUUUUAGUGAUUUAAUCGUUAUUUUUUAUAUUUUACUCAUAUAAAUUAUGUAUGGUAAAUUUAAUAUAAAUUAAAAUUUUCUAACUAUUUAUUUUUCAUAUUAUCGUAUCCAUCACUUAUUGGAAUUAAAAGAAUUUUUUUUUUGUCCUCUAAUAAACACAUUUCAUUAAAUUUUAUCUAUAUGUUAUAUUUCAUAUUAGACCUACCUAUAGGUUAGGCAUAGUGGCGGCUUGGAUUUUUCCUCCAACCCUUUUAUGUUGUAUAGUGUAAAACUAGUUUAUAGUUAAAUGUGACGUAUGGGUUAAUUGUGUAUAUUAAAAAUUUUAAUAUAAUUAUAAAAUAUUUUUAAAAAUAGAAUCAAUGUUAAUUAAUUUUAAAAAUAUUUAAUAUUAAAAUAAUAUAAAAAUUCAUCAUAGUUUGAAUAUUAAUAUAUUAUCAUUUAAAUAAUAUUAUCAGUAAUUUCUCAUAGGUUAUUUCUUAUAUAUUUGAUUUUUUUAAUUUUAUUUUUAUCCAUAAAUCGUUGUUUAUUCGAUUGAUUAUAAUUAUUUCUUCAUUUAAUAAAUUAAAACAUUAUAUUGAAAAUAAUGAAAAAAUAUUAGAUUAAAAAAUGAAAAAAAAUAUUUUCUAUAAGAUAAUUAAAAUAAUUUUUAAAAUUUCUUUUUCAAUGGGCUUACUACAUAUUAUAAAUAAGUAAAAUGAAAAAGCAUUAUUUCAUUUCACUUAUUACACAUAUUUUUUAAAUAAAAUAUAAUAAAUUAUCUUAAUAAUUAUCCCAACAAAAAAUAAUUUUUAAAAUAAAUAUAAUUCUUUUAUCUUUUAAAAUUACUUUUUGUAAUAAAAAUAAACAAAAUUGAAAUAAUUUUAAAAUAAGAAUGUUAAGAGGAUUUAUUAAUGAAACCCAUGCGAUAAUUAUACAUUAUUUAAAAUUAAAUAUAAAAACAUUACCAACCUCACAUUAAAAUAUUUCUUAUGUUUUAAAAGGUUUAUAAUGACACAUAUUUAAUUGUUAUGUAUAAAUAUUAUCUGUUAAUAUAAAAAAAUGCAUCAUUAAAUGGUCAUUAGGGGCUAGUAUUUUCUGUGUAUAUAUAGGUUUUAUUCAGUUAAAUGGUCAUUUUUGUUUACACCCAUUAUAAAUACAUCCCUCUUUUUCAUUCUUCCUAAAAUUCAUGUAAAUAAAAUUGCAUACACCUUAAUGCUAAAAGUUCUUUUAUUAAGUUCAGGAUUCAUGACAUAUUAUUUGUAACUUCUCUAACCUGGCCUAAACAUUACGAUCAGAUUCUAAAGGUUACAUAAGCCACAGAAAUGGCCUAGUAAAACUAUUGGAGUUUAUAAAACAAUCUUUUUAAAGCAUUUGCUUACCUUAGUAGAAAAAACUUAGUGUGUUUCCAAAAGGUAUAAUUUCUUUCAAAAAUCGGUUAAUUUUAAUGAUUACUUUGUAAAAAUUGAUUUCUAAUUUUAUAUGUUUUUCAAAUCUCAUUUACAUAAUAAUGCAACGGAAAAGUGAAAUUCAACAUAGUAUUAAUUAAAAAUCUAGUUUGCAUUCAAAAUUAACUCAAAUUCCAUGUUUCGACAUCCUAAAAUCAAUUAAAACGACAUGCAUACCAAAUAAACCCCAAAUUAAAAAUAAACCGAGACGAGCCCUCCAAAUGCCGAAUUUGUGUCUUAACAUUGUGGGUUAUCUGAAAAGAUGAAAAUUAAGGGGGAUGAGCUUAAGAAGCUCAGUGUGAGUCCAAUUACAAAAACACCAAUGCAAAACAGUAGACCAAGCAUACAAAAUAACAAUUCUCAGAUUAAUCACAAUCGUGUAACAAACAUAAUUUAAUAGUUUAUUUGAGCAUGCUUAUGUAUGUCAAUGUAAUUCAUAUUAACAGAAUAAGUUUCUACCCAUACUUCGCUACACUCCACAGUAAGAGUUCCCCAUAACUCAUCCAUUCCUACACUCUAUAUUAUGGAUAAACCACCAGUAUUUGCAAAUGAACUGCUAGUAAAAAUUGUGGGUAACCACCAGUAUUUUCAAAUAAAAAGUUUGCAAAUAAACUGCCAGUUAGUUUUAGAUGAACCACUAGUGUUUGCAAAUUAUUAAUGUAAUAGUCCGUUUUUAGUGAAAUUGGAAUAAUGGUUUCGGGACCACAAAUUUGAGGUCGGAAGAAAAUUUAUUUUAAUAUUAUUUUGUGGUCUAUUGUAUAAUAGGAAUGACAUAUGAAAAUUUCGUUAAGAAAUUUUACCGAUUACAUGUCUAAUUGGUUAAAAAGGACUAAAUUAAAAAAUGUGUAAAACUUGCUAAUUAUGAUAGUUAAGUGAUUAAAUAGCUUGACUAGUAAAUAGGGGAGGACUUACGGCAUAAAUAUGCCUAAAAUAGGUGGAUGAGGCGGCAUAAACUGGGAAAUUAAUAAAAUAAAAAUCAAUUACAAUUUUGCCAAAUUAAAACAAAAACAAAUGGAAAAUUAAAGAUUUCUAGACAUUCAAUUAUCAUUUUCGGUUCUAAGAAUAGACAUUAAAGAGGGUUUAGGCUGGUUCUUUAAUUUUUUCUUCAUGUGAGUUUAAUUCUUACCCGUUUCUUGAAAUUUUUAUGUUUUUGAGAUUGUUAUAAUUAGAUCCAAUUAACCUUUACUUUAGUUUUAGAUUUAUUUGAAAAUUUUGGAAGUUACCAUUGAAAAGUUCAUAUGAUUUUAGUUAUUAGAUGAUGAAUUUGAGAUGUUGAUGGGUAUUUAAAAGUAUUUUAUUUAAGAAUUUUGAUGAAAUUUUGAUUUAGGGAUAAAAUUGAAAAGAUGUUGAAAUCAUGGAAAAUUUUGAAUUUUAUGAAAUUCAUGGGUUUCUAUUGUUAUAUAUGAAAAUUUCUAGGCUUGGAAUGAAGAUUAAAUUUCAUGGAUUUCAUUUUCAGAGCCUAAGGACGAAAUCGUAAUUGAUUAAAAGUAUAGGGGCAAAAUGGUAAUUUUGCCAAAGAUGUGUAUUAGAUAGUGUUUGACACAAUUUUUUUGAUAAAAUGGAGUCGACUUGGGUUUUGGAAAAUGAAAACAAAAAUGGGAGUCGCCACCAAUCCUUUUUGAUGAGGUGUGAUCGGGUCACCUCGAAAAGUUUUUUAAUAAACGAUUUGAUUUUAUUAAAACACGAUUUUUGUCCACGAAAUCUAGGAAAACAGGUUCGGGAGGCAGUUACGUACGAGGAAGGACUAGCACCCUCGUAACGCCCAAAAUUGGCACCUAGUUGAUUAAUUAGUGUCCUAGUAUCGAAGAUUGAAGACUUUGAAAAGUUUUUAAAAAAUACGAUCCUAAAAAAAAACUAAUAUAAAUCAAAUUAUCCGUUAAGACCCUCUCAUUUCGGAGAGAGAAAAUAUCACACCCAAUGAGUUAGGGCAUGAUAUUUCACCUCUUCAAAAAUGAGCUUGUCCAAAAAACUCGUGCAAUAAAAUUUAAAAGGAUAUUCAAUUGUUUAAGUCAGAUGAAGAAAUCGCAGCCCAAUACGUUAGGGCACAAUUUCUCAAAAUUCUAAACAUUGAAUAUUGCCUUUAUUAUUAUUUUUAAGAAAAAAUCCUCAUCUCGAGAAAACAUGUUAUAUCCAAUGCAUUAGGACACAAUGUAUUGAAUUCCCGCUAAUGAGCUUUUUUUUUAUGUUUUUGAUUAAAGAGCAUUCUCGAUUAUUUAGAUUCAACGAAGAAAAUUAGAACCCAAUAUGUUAGGGCUCAAUCCCCUCGAAGAUCCCAAAUACUGAGUAUUGCCUUUAUUUUCAAAAUUUUCCAUUUUACGAAUCUAGGUAAAAAUUGAUGUAAUGGAAAAACAAUUAUGAUAAUGUAAGUAAAAAUAAUACGAGCAAAAACAAAAAGGUAAAUAAAUAAGAAGACAAAUAUAUAUAUAAAAAAAAUCAAUCAUGUAUACACAAUAACAAGUAAUAAGCAAAUAAAAGUGAAACAUUCUUUUAAAAUAAUAAUGAAAGCGUAAAUAGAUAAAUAAAAAAAUGAAUAAAAUUAUAAGAACGUAAAAAGAUAUAUGUAUGUACAUAUAUAUAUAAAUUAUAAGAUAUAAUAAGAAAUAUAUAUAAGCAUGUAUAUAUAUAUUUAUGAAAAUUAAAAAAUAUGUAUAUAUAUAUAGAUAUGCAUAAAAAUUAUAAAAUAUAAAAAAAAUAUAAGAAGGUAUAUAUAUAUGAAUUAUAAAUAAGUUAUAAAAUAUGUAUGGGUAUAGGUAUAUAUAUAUAUUAUAAAAAUGUAUGUAUGUAUAUAUAUAAUUAAAUCCAAAAUUAAAAAGGUAUAAAUGAGUAAAUAAUAAUAAUAAUAAUAAGAUUAAAAGAUAUUAAACUUAGAUAAGUAAAUAAAAUAAUAACAAUAAUAAUACAAAAAUAAUAGCAUAAUAUAAUAAUAUAAUAGUGAGGAAUAAAUAAAUAUAAAAAAAUUGAGUUAAUUAAUAAAAUAACACAAUAACUAAAAAAAGAGAGACUAAUUUGCAUUCUAAGACAAAGAUUUGGGGCAAAAUCAAAAAUAAAAUAAAAAAGGGGACUAUUUUGAACACGCGCAUAAUGUGAGGGGACUAAAAGGGAAAUUUUCCCUUUUUCCCCAAAACGACGCCGUUCAAAGAGGGACUUAAUUGAAAACGCAAUAAAUGGUGGGGUAAAAUUAAAAACAAUAAAAAUACUUGAUUAUAAAACCAUUAAAAAGCAGAAGGGAUAAAGGUGCAAUUAGCCCUUCUGAAUAAAAACACGCGGAUCUUGGCCUGGAGCGGGUCGAUUCUCGGGUCGGCCUCGAAAUGACGCAAAACGACGUCGUUUAGGCACUAAAAGAAUCAAGUCAAAACGGCGUCGUUUCUAGGCCCUAUAUAAGUAAAAAUUUCACAAAAAAGGUCAUUCUUUCUUCUUUCAACAAAAAAAAAUUCAAAAAACCUCUCCUCUCUCCCCUGCUCUCCUAAUAUUCUGCCAAGGGCCCGGUCGAGCUUCGGUCACCGGCCACCGUGUCGGCCCCUGGCUGUCGGCAACGGUGCCGCCGUAUGCGGUGGCCGGUAAAGGCUAAAACCUCUGAUCCUACCCUUUCAAUACCCCUAAACCCAAAUUCGAGCUCAAAAUCCCCAAAAUAUUAACCAAAUAGCCCCAAAAGCUUAGGAAACCUUUUGGUUUCCGGUCGCCUAUCCUCGGAGGUGACUUCCUCAACCACCCACGGCAUCGGAGGCCCGAAUAUAGGUCAGUUAUGACUCCCGUUUCUUUUUUGUUUUAUUUUUUGUAUAUGUAAAUAUAAUGAAAACCAAAAUAAUAAUAAAAAAUCAAAAAAGAUGAAGCGGAGAUUUAAAAAAGGGUGACAAGUAUCAACCUUUCGGGCUUUCUAUUGAAUUUUUUUCUUUCAAUAUUCGAUCCUUUAUUUUUUUUUGUAUUUUUGAAUCCCUCUUUCAUACAAUAUCCCCUAUUCUUUUUUACAACAUUCGGCUUUAUAGUCGAAAGAAAAUAAAAACUCAAUUUUUGCUAUUGUCUAGUCUUGUCUGCUUCUGCUUCUCUUGUUGCGUGUUUGCAUAUGACCGUGCAGAGUUGCAGCGGCAGCAGAGGGUGUCAGAUGCACAUGGCAGAGCAGGUCGCGACGCUCAUAGGGUUGGGGAUUAGGGUUUUUGCUGAAAUGUUUUAAGUUUUUGGGCUUGUUGGGCUAGGUUUUAAUUUGGAUCUGUUUGGGUUUAAUUUUGGGCCAUGUGGUUUGGGCUGGCAUUGUAAUGGACUGUUAUCUUUUAAUAUUUAGGCCCGGGCAGAAGUUGGGUCUUACAGAUAGAAUUGAGUAUGAAUUGUAUUAAAUUAAUGUUAAAUUCAUUCAUAUAGAUCCGGAUAGACCAAAUACAGAGUUAGAUCGAGGAAAAGAAAAAGUGUCGAAUUAGUAGAUUUUGCAUACACGAAUAUUGUCGAGGUAAGUUCGUGUAACUAAAUUGUAUAUUUAUAUUUUUUAUUAAAUGUUGUGUAUGUGAAUUAAAUUGUGUAAUUGACAUGUAUGAAAAUUGAACACGUAUCCAAAUAUAUCCGACAAGUAUUAAGUCCUAUUUGAAUAAAUGAAUUCAAUGGAUAUAGGGUUCCCGAAUUGGUUGUGGUCCUGCAUGUGUUGCGGACACACCACAGCUCGAAAGAGCGUUCCAUUAUUAGCUCUUAUGAGCUUUCCGUUAUAUGGUUCUUGCGAUCUUUCCGUUAAUAGCUCUUCAGAGCAUUCCAAUUGGUUGUGAUCUUACAUGUGUUGUGGACACACCGCAGCUCUUAUGAGCGUCCCGAUAUAUGACUCUUUGGAGCUUCUCGAUUAAAGGCUCUUCCAUGAGCUUCCCGUUAAUGGCUCUCCGGAGCUUCCCGAUAUUGGCUCGCUUGAACCUUCUCAAUAUUGGCUCGUAUGAGCUUCCGGUUAUAUGGCUCGAAAGAGUUUCCCAUUUAUGUGCUCGUAUGAGCAUUUCCGAAUAUGAAUUGACGGAUCUCAGAUUUAUACACUUCGUGUGUACUACCUAGGUAUCCAUCGAUAUUUUAAAUGACUCAACAAGCAAAAUCCUGAUAUGAGAAAAUAUAUGAAUUCAAAGUGAAACGUUAACUAUAUAUAUAUAUACACGAAAUACAUGGAAACUUGAUGUUGAUGAGCUCAUACAUAACUCUUGAUAUUCAUUGAAAUAAAUGACUAACAUGUUUGAUGAAGUUGUGUGUUUAAACUAUUAGCCAAAUUGCUUGGAUGCAUUUUGUAUGUUUAUUUUAAUGAAAAUAAAUGGUAAGUUAAUUUUUCGUUAUAUGAACUUACUAAGCAUUAAAUGCUUACUCUGUUUUAUUUCCUGUCUUAUAGUACUCAGAGGCUCGUAAAGGUUGAAAGCUGGUCAAAGUUACAUCACACUAUCCCUCGGACUCUUCAGUAUAUAUAGCAAACUAAUUUUGGUUAUAAUGACAUGUAUAGGCUAAAAAUGACCAAUAAUGGCAAUGUAAAUGUUUGGUUGUAAUUAGCCAUUGGGAUGGCUUGUGAAUGACAUAUUUUGAUGUGUUUAUAUAUGGUCUUAAUGUAUUUGAUAAGUCUUUGAAUUGGUUAAAUGAGGGAGAUUAUAUAGGCUCAUAAUUAAUUGAUUUGAGUUAGUAUAAUUGGUAAGAUAUGCAUGUAUGAGAAUUGGGUCAAUUAGGGAAAAUUGAAUACUUAGACAUAUGGGAUAUACUAUAACAUGUACUAAACUUGGUUUUAGCUUGAUUUGAAUUAUUGGUAUUGCCUUGUGAAUGUGUUAAAGUGUUGAUGUAAGUGGAAGAUAAUUUGGGUGAGAAAAGUGGCCUUGGAAAUAGCCUAUUUUUGUCCACACAGGCAGAGACACGGGCGUGUGUCUCAGCUGUGUGUGACACAUGACCUAGCACAUAGGCGUGUGAUUUGGCUAUGUGUCCCAUGUAUCUUAAAAAUUGAGAAACAGAAUGCUCAAAAUUAUCCACACAGCCUAGCACACAGGCGUGUGGCUUGGCUGUGUGACCUUUACACCUAAUUAAUGCAAGUUAAAUUGCUCACACGGCAUAGCACACGAGUAUGUAGCUUGGCCGUGUGACCCAAGUCAGUGAGUUACACGGGCAUGAGCACGGGCUGGGACACAUCCGUGUGCCCCUAUUUCAAAUGCCUACACAGCCUGGCCACAAGGGCGUGUGUCCUCUGCACCUAGGAAAAAUUUUGACAUUUUGCGAAAAAUUCUCUGAGUACCCGGUGUAGUCCCGACGUGUUUCAAAUGCAUAUUUUGGGCCUCGAGGGCUCAUGUAAGGGACAAAAUGAUUGAACAUGAUUGAUUUCUGAUAUGGAUGUUAAAUGAUAUAAAAUAAUUGUAUUUGAUCUGUAACUCCGGUAAUGUUCCAUAACCCUCUUCCGGCGACAGAUAUAAGUUAAGGGUGUUAUAAUUAAACUACCAAUACUUCCUCCAUUCAUAUCGUCCCACCCCAUGCAAUUCAAUAUUACAUGCUUGUAACAAUACAGUGCAGAAAUAGUAGAAAUCUUUAACAUGUAUUCAAUUCAACAGUAACAAUAGACAUGCUUAACAUACACUUAGUAGGGCAAAGUAGUAAUACAAUAACAAUUUAUCAAAAUUACAGUAACAAUAAACAUGUAACAUUCACAUAUUAUAUAUUAUAUAUUAUAAAAGUAGCAAUUCAGUCAUUAAAUCAUAAAUUCCAGUAUAUACAUAAUAUUAGGGACUCAAUUGAGUGAAUAAAAAUUCUAAAAAUAAUUCAGGGACUAUACAAGGACUAAAUUGAACAAUUCACAAAUUUUUAAGGAAAAUUGUACAACAAUGAUCACACGACUGUGUGGAAAAUGAUAAAUUACCCUAUAGGAAGGACACAACUGUGUGGCAGGCUGUGUAACAGGCUGAGGCUAUGUGGUUCACGAAGUAUUGUACGAUUUACAGGUGUACACGAUCCUGUGGUCCACACACCUGUGUGGCCCUAAACCUACAUACGGUUUGACCAGAUUCACUUGGUAAAAUACACACACACAUACCCCCCUUUCACCACGGGUUCAGUUGAUUCUCCUCGCGAUCGAUUUUGAUCUGAUUUACCUAAAUCCAGUCUUUCAAUGACAAAUAUACACAAUUAACGAUUGAUAUCAAAAUUUUGGCAAAAUUAUCAAAGAUUUGGCAAGAUUCGUAAAACAUUGAUUAAUCGAAUCAAAAUAUCAAUGUUGGAUUUUUGUACAACGGAUAUACAAAAUCUAACAAUUGAAAUGAAUGCACUUACCGAUCUCUGGCAAAGAUAAUGGAUGCUAUUUGAUGACAAUCUAACCUUUGAUAGAAAACGAUUGAACGAAGGACGAUUCGAUACAGGAACGAAAAAGAAUCAACAGCCCAAAGAUUGAAAAAUAUGGUGCAAGAAUGAGGGAAAAGAAUGGGCACUGACACUUAAUCAUUAAGCCUUAAGCUCAUUUCUUACUUAAUUUAGACACUGAACUGUACAUAUAUUUCGAAGUGUGACAACUGAAUUAUCAAAAUAAUAAAAAUAUGAAGGAGGGGGCUCAAACCUAAGAUCUCUUGGAAGAGGGACUAACACUUAACCAUUAGGCCAAUAAUUUUCUUAUUUAACAAACGCACAAUGAUAACCUUAUAAAUCGGGGCGUGACCACUCUCGAUUUCAUAAACUCGAUUCUACUAAUCCAAUUUUUAGGAUGUAACAUUUUUUUUUCAAUUUAAUAAAUUAUUAGUAUAAUUUAUAUUCUAAAUUUAUAUCAUGCCAUAUAUAUAAAAAAUUGUGUUUCUUACUGUAAUGAAAUAAAAAUUUAAUAUUGUAGGAGAAAUUAUUUUAUUGACCCUUCCCACCACAUAAUUCAUUGUCUCUUUCCAAUUAUGUAAAGACAUUUCAACAAUUUUUUUCAUGUCAUUGAUACAUAAUUUUGAUAAUUUUUUUACCUUGAACCCCGAACCCUAAACCCUAAACCAUGAAUCAAAACACUAAACUUUGAAUACUAAACACUAAACCUUAAAUCUUAAACCUUUCAUAGUUUAGGGUUUAAGGUUCAAGUUUAAGGUUUAAGGCUUAGGAUUUGGGUUUGGGUUUGGGGUUUGAGAUAGAAAAAUUACAAAAAUUAUAUAUUAAUGACAUGAAAAAAAUUGUUGAAAUGUCAUUAAAUAAUUAGAAAAGAACUAUGAAUAAUGUGGUGGGAAGGGUCUAUAAAAUAAUUUCUGAUAUUGUAGACAUCCAUUAAUAAUUUUGGAAACAAAUUUAUUAGUAACUUUUUAUUUUUAUGAAUUUAAAAAAAAUUAAUUUCUUAACCUAUUAAAAUUUCUAUUUUUAACUUGUUAGAAUAAAUUAUAUUAAUUUCUGCAUAAUUAACUCUAUUAAAACCAUUUAAAUCACGUCCAACCCACUGUUUACAUCCCAAGAUUCACGUGGUUUUCUAAUAAAUGGAAUAAGUUAAGUUUCAUCCUAUAUAGUUUGCAAUUUACGGGCUUCAGUCAUUAAUUUGUUGUUUUUCUUUUAUUCGAUUUAGUCCAUUAUCAAAUUUACUUUAUUUUAUUUAAAUAUAACUUAUGUGUUAUAUGAGAUUUAAUUAUUAAUGUCCUAUUUUAUAAUUAUAUAAUUGGAUUAAUUUUGAUUAUGUUUGUGAUAAAAUUUUAUGUUUGGAUGCCGAUAUUGACUUAUCUGUAUUCAUACUUAUUUUUCAUAGUUUUAGUCAAGUAUGUUUAUAUGUACGUAUUUCAGUUCUGAUUAGUGAUCUCUUGGUCAUUAAUAUUUAAAAAGUGUUUGAAUGUAAGGUUAGUAGAUUGAGUCUUAAUUCGAUUGGUAUGAUCAUUGUUGUUAAUGCAGGAGGAUGUAGCUCCGUGUGCGUUGAAGCGCAUUAUCCUUCUAUUUAUGGGUUGGGGAGGGACUAUGGGUAGUUUUAGGUAUUGUGUUAAAAAAAGUAGAUAUGAUCAUGCAAGCGAGUUGCAUCCUGCAAUCUGAACUGAGGACAGGUUUUUGGAGUAAGCUCACCUUCGCGGGAUCGCGACCCUUUGUCACGUCCAUUGUAGCAUGUGUGUCGCCCAUGGCAUAAGGGGCAUGAUGACUUUAUGUCAUCCUCACCUUCCUCUGGCUUAUCAUCGGUAGUCUGCUCAAGGUUCCAAACUCAACAGUGGCAACUAAACAUGAGGGUUGCACUCGUUGCGGGACUAAAACUAUAACGAAAUUGUUCAAAGAAAAGAUUUAUUAUCUUUAUUAAUACCUACAAUCAUUUUGUGUAUCACACGGAUAAGAAAACUAAUAUAUUAUAUAUUACAAGGUUUUAAGACUAAAGCUAACAUGGACAGCCUAUUUUAAUGACAUAUGGUAUAUUUAUUCCGUUGAAACGUGACAACUUCAUUCUUUAUAUAUAACAUUUAUUUUUGUUUUAAAAUUAAUAAAAGAUAAUAUAAAAUUAUAAUUCACCAUUUUUUAUGUUUAAAUUAAUAGAAAAUAAUCUUAAAAUUAUAAUAAAUAUAUUAAUCUACUUUAUGAUUCUACUUUUGUUUGCCAAACACUUUAUUUUUCUAUAACUAUUCAACCGUAAUCGUUUAUUAAAAACAUUAAAAAUUCAAUAUAUAUUUAUACAUUAAACUAAAUAUAUUUCUAAAUAUAAAAAUUAAUCUAUUACUAAAUAAAGUUUAAAUAAUAAAACAUAAAACUAUAAAAUUGAAUUUUUAAAAAUCAAAUGACAAAUUCAUAGAAAAUAAAACUUAAAUUAUUUUUUUACACAGUAUUUAAAAGAGUUCAAACUGAGGAAUUAUUACUUUUUUACCUUUCUUUUUUCCUCAAAAUAAAAAUAAAAAUUACGAACUAAUUAAAAAGCUAAUUAAAAAUAUCAAAUUUAUACGUAAACUUUAGUUCUGUGUGUAAUUUGAUACACGAAAAUUAAAUUGUGGUUCAUAUGUAUACAAGAAGCUUUGAUUUUGAUUCAAUUGUACACAUUUAAAGAAAUGAAUGCAUACAUUUAUUUUCAUAUUGGAUUAAUAUAAUUGUUUGUGUAUAUAACAUACCAAUAUAAAACGAUACUAAUUCGAUAAUGUUGAUGGAUGGAUAAAGAGUAAUGGAAGCAUGAGUUGGGUUGGUGGGUUACUGCGAAUCGAGAAAGGCGAUGUUCUUGUUGUGUUCUCCCAAUGUGUUGGAUUUGCUAUUCCAUGUAUGGCUGAACUCAUGGUUGUUAAGGAGGUGUUUAACUAUUUCUUUGCAUCCAAGUGUUGCAACUCACACAAGUUGGUGAUUGAAGCUGAUAGCCAAAAGAUUGUCAAUUGGUUUUUAGAUCCUUUUGAAACUCCUAACUCCUUGAGGAUUGUGGUCUUAGUUGCUUCAAGAUUUGGACCCAAUGAUAGAUGGUUAAUUCGAUACAUCUUUCUAGUAACAUUGAUGCCGAUGGUUUUGCAAAUGUUAAGAUUUGUCUCCGACUGUAGAAAAAUUCCUACUUAUCUAUUUAUAAUUUUUUAAAUUGUUAAUUUACUAUGAUUUUUACAUGCAAAGUAAAAUGAAUAAGUAAAUAUUUAUUUAUUGGUUACAUUAAUAUUAAAAAGACAAUUUAUUUAUAUAUAUUUUUUACAAAAGUGAAACUAUCCAAUUUAACAGAUAAAAAAUAUUUUAACUCAUUUAAAUGAAUCGAUUAAACAAAAGUCUUAUUAGUUUAACCUCAUUUAUAAUUUUUAAUAAUAUUCUUUUGGUAAUGUAGAAUUAGAGGGUUCAUACUCACACACAUAUGGUAAAGGUACAUACUUAUAUCAUACUUGCACAUAUUAUGUUCAAAGGAAACUGCUCAAAUAAAAGUCUACCACUUGUUCCAUAGGAGUUUAAUCCCGAAUAGGUUUUAUAAGUGAAUAGCCCUUACUCACUAGACUAACACGGGAAUUCUUCAUGAUGAUAUUUGAGUACGCUUUAAACCACAAUAUCAAAUAUAAACACAAAGGAGUUUAUACAAUUACUUAAUUCACAAAAAAAUAAAGGAGUUUAUACAUGGAUUCAAUUUUCAAUGACCUUAUGAGACUUAAGUUACUCGAGUAACUUGGGGAGUAAAGACGCAAAACGAAGGGUUUACCAACCUAAACGAUGAGUAACAACCAUUGGUCGGCGGGGCCGGGGAGGUUGGUUGACGCAGGAAAGCAAGAGAGCGAUGGCGAUAACUAGCGCAAGCACAAGUCCCAUCAUAUCCACGUUGAGCUCUAUGCACAACUGCCCCAUCUCUCUUCUUCUUCUUCCUUUCUCUGCCCUACUCCAGAAACAAUGGCAAUUAUUAAAGUUUCAGCAUAGGCGGCUAUUCUACUUUUUGGAGUCAAAACACUAAAUAUAUAAACGAUAUUG